AAGGCCUAAGGAAGUGAUGAAUCAAGAAGAGAGUUUCUCCCUUUCCUGGAAGACUGCUUUGGAUUCUGUGGGAGCCUUCCUCUGCUUGCAGAUCACCGCCACUAAGUGCUGCCAGUAAACCACAGAAAGGCAGCAGAGUCAUGUAAAUGCUGUCAUUUUUAUGAGAUCAUACUGUCUACCCUUUAAUGGACAAGCUAAAUAGGAAUUGUUUCAAAUCACCGGAACUGCUUUUGUAUUGCUCCGUGGGAGGCGUACAUCCAAGGCAAAAUCAUGAUGAAAGAAAGAACUAUGCACAAAAGGAGCUGAUUGAAGCAUGGAAAAAAUUAGAAGCCCAGGACAGCUGGAUACUUUGCUGGUGACCAAGUGGAUUAUCACCACCAACUGGACAUGGCCUCUGUUGACAAAUGUGAAAAUGUCUGCCUGUUCAAUAACCCCAGCCUGGGCUGUGAUGGAGGUGUGAUGUGAGACCUGCAGCCCCAGAGCAAUGGCCUGUCCACAGCCAAAACAACAGAAGGCAACAACAGUUUGCUGCAAACCACAGGGAUAUUUUGCAUGUCUGACCUCACAUGUAGACAUGUACUUGCAGCAACAAUGCACACUGGAGCAAGAACAGACUUUUCACAAGCUACUCUACUCAGUACUGAUGAGGCUGAACCUGAAGUGCUGUGUCCAGUUCUGGGCUCCUCAGUACAGGAGAGAUCUAAACAUACUGGAGAGUGUCAAAGGGAGAGCCACCUAGAUGAUGAAGGGAUUGGAGCACCAGGGCUGUGAGGAGAGGCUGAGAGAGUUGGUCCUGUUCAAGCCUGGAGAAGAAGGGCUCAGGUGCAUCUUAUUAAUAUCAAUCAAUACCUGGAGGGAGAGUGCAAAGGAUGGAGCCAGGCUCUUGUCCGUGGUGCCUACUGAUCUGGUAAGAGGUAAUAGGCACAAAUUGGAACAUCAGGAAGCGCUUAACUGCACAGAUUGUUGAGCACUGGCACAUGCUGCCCAGAAACUGUGGAAUCUCCUUUGAGAUCUCCAAAAACUGCCUGGAUGUGGCCAUGGGCACCCUGCUCUGACUGUCCCUGCUUGAGCAGACAUUGGGCUAGAUGGACCCAGAGGUGCCUCCCCAACUCAGACAUGCUGUAAG